AGUGAACGCUGGCGGUAGGCCUAACACAUGCAAGUCGAACGGCAGCACAGUAAGAGCUUGCUCUUACGGGUGGCGAGUGGCGGACGGGUGAGGAAUACAUCGGAAUCUACUUUUUCGUGGGGGAUAACGUAGGGAAACUUACGCUAAUACCGCAUACGACCUACGGGUGAAAGCAGGGGAUCUUCGGACCUUGCGCGAUUGAAUGAGCCGAUGUCGGAUUAGCUAGUUGGCGGGGUAAAGGACCACCAAGGCGACGAUCCGUAGCUGGUCUGAGAGGAUGAUCAGCCACACUGGAACUGAGACACGGUCCAGACUCCUACGGGAGGCAGCAGUGUGGAAUAUUGGACAAUGGGCGCAAGCCUGAUCCAGCCAUACCGCGUGGGUGAAGAAGGCCUUCGGGUUGUAAAGCCCUUUUGUUGGGAAAGAAAAGCAGCAGGUUAAUACCCCGCUGUUCUGACGGUACCCAAAGAAUAAGCACCGGCUAACUUCGUG
rnacentral:rRNA from 1 species